rnacentral:misc_RNA from 1 species
UUCUUUUGAUCCAUCUGAUCCAACAAUCAUUCAUUUGAUUUGUUGUUCUUGGAUCGACAUUGGACUUUUAUCAUUAAUCGUCCUGAAUUCAUACACGGAUUGUUCGUGAUAAAGGAGUGCUUGCACUUGUUAUAUCCAUCGAUCAAUCAUCCACCUUUAUUAAUGAUCUCAAAUCAGGCAAGACUACCCGCUGAACUUAA